UGGGGAAUUUUGGACAAUGGGCGAAAGCCUGAUCCAGCAAUGCCGCGUGUGUGAAGAAGGCCUUCGGGUUGUAAAGCACUUUUGUCCGGAAAGAAAUCCUUGGCUCUAAUACAGUCGGGGGAUGACGGUACCGGAAGAAUAAGCACCGGCUAAUUACGUGCCAGCAGCCGCGGUAAUACGUAGGGUGCAAGCGUUAAUCGGAAUUACUGGGCGUAAAGCGUGCGCAGGCGGUUUGCUAAGACCGAUGUGAAAUCCCCGGGCUCAACCUGGGAACUGCAUUGGUGACUGGCAGGUUAGAGUAUGGCAGAGGGGGGUAGAAUUCCACGUGUAGCAGUGAAAUGCGUAGAGAUGUGGAGGAAUACCGAUGGCGAAGGCAGCCCCCUGGGCCAAUACUGACGCUCAUGCACGAAAGCGUGGGGAGCAAACAGGAUUAGAUACCCUGGUAGUCCACGCCCUAAACGAUGUCAACUAGUUGUUGGGGAUUCAUUUCCUUAGUAACGUAGCUAACGCGUGAAGUUGACCGCCUGGGGAGUACGGUCGC
rnacentral:rRNA from 1 species